CCUACGGGUGGCAGCAGUAGGGAAUAUUGCUCAAUGGGCGAAAGCCUGAAGCAGCAACGCCGCGUGCAGGAUGAAGGCUUUCGGAUUGUAAACUCCUUUUGUUAGCGAGGAAAAUGACGGUAUCUUACGAAUAAGGACCGGCUAACUCCGUGCCAGCAGCCGCGGUAAUACGGAGGAUGCAAGCGUUAUCCGGAGUCACUGGGCGUAAAGAGUGCGUAGGCGGGUUAGCAAGUCAGAUGUGAAAUCCUAUGGCUAAACCAUAGAACUGCAUUUGAAACUGUUCUGCUAGAGUAUGGGAGAGGUAGGUGGAAUGCAUGGUGUAGGGGUGAAAUCCGUAGAGAUCAGAAGGAACACCGAUUGCGAAGGCAGCUUACUAGAACAGGACUGACGCUGAGGCACGAAAGCGUGGGGAGCAAACAGGAUUAGAUACCCUAGUAGUC
rnacentral:rRNA from 1 species